rnacentral:rRNA from 1 species
AUUCCAGCUCCAAUAGCGUAUAUUAAAGUUGUUGCAGUUAAAAAGCUCGUAGUUGAAUUUCUGGUGGGAGUGUACAGUCCGACACUGAGUGUUGGUUCUUGUGUGUCUCCGGCCAUCCUUGGAGUGAAUCUGUCUGGCAUUUAGUUGUUGGGCAGAGUAUCUCCAUCGUUUACUGUGAGGAAAGGAAAGUGUUCAAAGCAGGCUUACGCCGUUGAAUCUUUUAGCAUGGAAUAAUAAUAUAGGACUUUGGUUUUAUUUUGUUGGUUUCUAAGGCCGAAGUAAUGAUUAAUAGGGAUAUUUGGGGGCAUUCGUAUUAAGCGGUCAGAGGUGGAAUUCUUGGAUUCGCUUACGACGAACUUCUGCGAAAGCAUUUGCCAAGGAUGUUUUCAUUA